rnacentral:rRNA from 1 species
AUUGAACGCUGGCGGCAUGCCUAACACAUGCAAGUCGAACGGGGCAGCAAUGCCUAGUGGCGGACGGGUGAGGAACACGUAGGAAUCUGCCCUUAAGUGGGGGAUAACCAGGGGAAACCCUGACUAAUACCGCAUGAUCUCUUCGGAGCAAAGAGGGGGACCGCAAGGCCUCUCGCUUCUGGAUGAGCCUACGUCUGAUUAGCUAGUUGGUAGGGUAAAGGCCUACCAAGGCGACGAUCAGUAACUGGUCUGAGAGGAUGAUCAGUCACACCGGAACGGAGACACGGUCCGGACUCCUACGGGAGGCAGCGGUGGGGAAGAUUGGACGAUGGGCGCAAGCCUGAUCCAGCAAUGCCGCGUGUGUGAAGAAGGCCUUCGGGUUGUAAAGCACUUUAGCCUGGAAAGAAAAAACUUUAGUUAACACCCAAAGUCUUGACGGUACCAGGAGAAUAAGCACCGGCUAACUCUGUGCCAGCCGCCGCAGUAAGAC